rnacentral:rRNA from 1 species
AUUGAACGCUGGCGGCAGGCCUAACACAUGCAAGUCGAACGAGUGGCGGACGGGUGAGUAAUGUCUGGGAAACUGCCUGAUGGAGGGGGAUCACUACUGGAAACGGUAGCUAAUACCGCAUACCAUCCGAUGCGCCCAGAUGGGUUUAGCUUGUUGGUGGGGUAACGGCUCACCAAGUGGACGCUCCCUAGCUGGUCUGAGAGGAUGACCAUCCACACUGGAAAUGAGACAAGGUCCAGAGUCCUACGGGAGGCAGCAGUGGGGAAUAUUGCACAAUGGGCGAAAGCCUGAUGCAGCCAUGCCGCGUGUGUGAAGAAGGCCUUCGGGUUGUAAAGUACUGUCAGCGGGGAGGCGUUACCCGCAGAAGAAGCACCGGCUAACUCCGUGCCAGCAGCCGCGGUAAUUC